UUGCCCUCCCAGAUAGACCCUUGA
rnacentral:piRNA from 1 species